AAAUUGAAGAGUUUGAUCAUGGCUCAGAUUGAACGCUGGCGGCAGGCCUAACACAUGCAAGUCGAACGGUAACAGGAAGCAGCUUGCUGCUUUGCUGACGAGUGGCGGACGGGUGAGUAAUGUCUGGGAAACUGCCUGAUGGAGGGGGAUAACUACUGGAAACGGUAGCUAAUACCGCAUAA
rnacentral:rRNA from 9 species